rnacentral:rRNA from 1 species
GACGAACGCUGGCGGCGUGCUUAACACAUGCAAGUCGAACGGAAAGGCCCCUUUGGGGGUACUCGAGUGGCGAACGGGUGAGUAACACGUGAGUAACCUGCCCUUGACUUCGGGAUAACUUCAGGAAACUGGGGCUAAUACCGGAUAGGAAUCCUUGCUGCAUGGUGGGGGUUGGAAAGCUUCGGCGGUUUUGGAUGGACUCGCGGCUUAUCAGCUUGGUGGUGGGGUAGUGGCUUACCAAGGCUUUGACGGGUAGCCGGCCUGAGAGGGCGACCGGCCACAUUGGGACUGGGAUACGGCCCAGACUCCUACGGGAGGCAGCAGUGGGGAAUAUUGCACAAUGGGCGGAAGCCUGAUGCAGCAACGCCGCGUGCGGGAUGACGGCCUUCUGGUUGUAAACCGCUUUCAGCAGGGGCGAAGCUUGUGGUGACGGUACCUGCAGAAGAAGCACCGGCUAACUACGUG